CCUUGAGCUACGACGAGGGGGAGGCUAUGUUGUCAGCAGAGGGCAGUGCUCCACACCGUCACCCCCCACACACCUGACCAGCAUUGCGUGGUGGACACGUGGUCAAAGAACCAACCCGAACCUCAAAAUGCUGCACUGGGUAUACACCAGAGGUCGCAACUGGGUACCCGAUACCCGUACCCUACCCGAUACCCGGCUACCCGUACCCGGCCGGGUACGGGUAGCCGUUUGCGACCCUGGUGCAGCCGGGUACGGGUACGGGUAGGCCGUGAGUCACUGGUGAGUAACCGUUUGUCACUCAUUUCGGGUAGGAUACGGCUACCUGUACCCGGCCGGGUACGGGUACCCAUUUGCGACCCUGGUGCGGCCGGGUACGGGUAAGGAAUCAAAACCCGUUUGCGACCUCUGGCAACCGGGAACUGAUGCAGCUCGGCAAGCGCUAGACGGAUACGUACGUACCGUAAGUGACCAACCGUGCUAAUCGGAGAUGCGGUCAGAUCUGGGAAGUUCCCGUCGCGACACCACACGCGUCAACGAAUUUUGUACACGCCCUGUAGCUCGCUAAUGUUUUUUUUGACGUCCUGUUGGGAGUAGUGAGUUGCAAUAGUCCAGCCUCAUCAGUACUUUGCUGCAAUGCCGAAAUAUUGGAAUUGCAGGAUCUCCGACCCGUAUUUUGCACGUGGUGAUCAAACAACAUCAACGGUUGAUCGCGUGGUGUCGAGACUCAUUGAUCUCAAGUAGAAAACUAAAAUCUUUCGGAGUCUGCGACCUCCUCUGGGUCGAGCAGCAUCUCAUUUUGUUGCGAACCACAGGAGCGUCCGCUCGCGUGCAGUCUUCGAGGAUACCGAGGCUCUCUUCGUGGCCCAACGUUGACUUCGCUGCCGCACACAACUGCGUUGUCGCCGACAUACCGAUGGGACUUGAUGUCGCGCGAAAAUUUGACAUUGACAAACGGAGAGGGCCCACCAGGCUCGGCACAGGCGACGACUGAUGUUCACCCAGCUUAACGAACUGUGAGCCACCAUAGUAAUGGGUUUUUACCCUUCGAACUGGUAUAAAAACUGACACCUUUGUAAUAACAGCCAUAGAGGGUUCACGUGGGGAUUGGCUUGCCGGUCCUGCUUGUAGCCAAUAAGGGUUGAGAUAGGACCGUGGGCCAUGCGUCAUCACGACAGGUCAUCAGGAGUGAUUGGCCUAGCCAUUCGGGGCCCCAGCUAAUGGGGAGCCGGAUGAGGGGCGUGGUCCCGGGAGUGACAGGGAACCAUCGAGAAUGGUCGAAGCUGUCCAUGGACGAUUGGCGGGGGAACCACAUGACGAAGGUAUUAAGAGCGAGUGAGAGGGAACGAUCGCGAGCAGACUGAAACUAACAAGAGCAGGGUCACGCGCGGACGGGGGCUCGGGUUGCCACGUGCGCGGUGGGGACUUAGUGCGAAGUCUGUCCUCUCUCCGUUGUCUGCCAGCAACGGAGAGUGAGUGAGCAAAGUGUAUUGUGGAGUGGAAAUAAAAGGACUGAUUUCGAA